rnacentral:lncRNA from 10 species
GUGGUGCUUUGUAGCACAGCCCCAGUUUAACCAUGGCACCCCACAGCCUCCUGGAAGUUGCGGGGUUGGGGUACAAGGGACACCCCGCCAUGAAGGCUGGUGCUCAGCCAAGGCAACGUGGCCACGGCACCUGUCUUUAUGCAAGAGGAUUGAACGUGGAAACAUACUUCUUAGAAGAGAAAACUCUGAAGACUUUAAAAUGAAACUAUCCCUGAGUGGAGCUUCCUUUUUGAGGACGGUGAGCAGGAUCCACACUCGGCGCCCCCCAGGCCAACUGAAGGUGUCUCUGACCCCACCACGGGCUCCUAGGCUGCUGCAGGUUUGUAAAUGGAUGGUGCGGAUAUGAAGGUCACUGAAAGGAAACUAAGAAUGUGAAAAGGAAAAAAUCUACCUGGUUGAUCACUUUCAUUGGUAUUCAUACAUCUAAAAAUGAAAAUAUUUUGAACAUUUUCAACAUUCAUCUCUUCAACAAAGUUGUGAGCUGUCAAAGGGUCCACGAAAGGAACCAGAAGUCACCACAAGCUGGGACCGGGGAGAUGUCUCUGAGCUGGAAA